ACCGCGCCUCCUCGGCCAGUGUGCGUCGAGCCUCCAUGCCCGACGGACGUGCGCCGCGCCCUGACAACUUAAUCGCGUAACGUGACAUCAAAUAGCCAAAAAAAAAACUUAACUUCAGUGUUUAAGAUUUAACACGAAAUGGGGUCGUUGAACUGAACAUUUAAAGAAUUUAUAAAAAAUAAACUAUACCAAAGAAACAGUUGCUGUGUGUGAAUCGCCAGAAAUCAAGAUGGCUGCCAAAA